ACCUGACUGCUAUCGGAUUGAUACUAAGCCAUGCGAGUCAUUGUAGCAAUACAAGGCAUACGGCUCAGUAACGCGUAGUCAACCUAACCUAUGGACGGGAAUAACCUCGGGAAACUGAGAAUAAUGCCCGAUAGAACAUUAUACCUGGAAUGGUUUAUGUUCCAAAUGAUUUAUCGCCGUAGGAUGGGACUGCGGCCUAUCAGUUUGUUGGUGAGGUAAUGGCCCACCAAGACUAUUACAGGUACGGGCUCUGAGAGGAGUAGCCCGGAGAUGGGUACUGAGACACGGACCCAGGCCCUAUGGGGCGCAGCAGGCGAGAAAACUUUGCAAUGUGCGAAAGCACGACAAGGUUAAUCCGAGUGAUUUCUGCUAAAGAAAUCUUUUGUUAGUCCUAGAAACACUAACGAAUAAGGGGUGGGCAAGUUCUGGUGUCAGCCGCCGCGGUAAAACCAGCACCUCAAGUGGUCAGGAUGAUUAUUGGGCCUAAAGCAUCCGUAGCCGGCUCUGUAAGUUUUCGGUUAAAUCUGUACGCUUAACGUACAGGCCGCCGGGAAUACUGCAAAGCUAGGGAGUGGGAGAAGUAGACGGUACUCGGUAGGAAGUGGUAAAAUGCUUUGAUCUAUCGAUGACCACCUGUGGCGAAGGCGGUCUACUAGAACACGUCCGACGGUGAGGGAUGAAAGCUGGGGGAGCAAACCGGAUUAGAUACCCGGGUAGUCCCAGCUGUAAACUAUGCAAACUCAGUGAUGCAUUGGCUUGUGGCCAAUGCAGUGCUGCAGGGAAGCCGUUAAGUUUGCCGCCUGGGAAGUACGUACGCAAGUAUGAAACUUAAAGGAAUUGGCGGGGGAGCACCACAAGGGGUGAA
rnacentral:rRNA from 1 species